UUGCGGAAUUUCAAAACUAAUGGACGGAGUGGAUUUGUCACAGGCAUCUCUGUAGGCUCUACACCACAGGAAUUUCCUGUCCCAAGGGCACAGGCAAUCCCGUUGUCAGAUGCAGUGAUAAACUAUCAUUGCAGGCAAUUGACUAAUAUUAGUAGUCUAGUCAAAAUGGCAAUAGACAGUGAAACGAGAUUCUUUUUCGCCCAUCACACCUCUGUCACCACCCCCAUUGUCUGGUAGCUUCUGAGAGAGAGAGAUGGAACCACCUCCUUCACAAACGAUGUCUAUCGGGGCAGAAGAUGAACAGGAUAAGGUUAUCAAUGACUGCUGUUCCUGUUGUUAUGAUUGUCUAGAGAAUUGCCUUGAUUUCUUAUGCUGUACCUAUCUCUGUUAGAUCUGGCAACAACCCCAUUUACUUCUCUCACUGGAAAAAAAAUGAUUUUAGAGGGUUAGAUGUUUCUUUCUUGGCCAUGUUUGGCUGCCCCAAUUUCUCUUUUUCUUCUCUUUUACUCUCUUUUCUGAUGAGGUGGGCAUGUUUGGCUGCCCCAACUUGUAUUCUCCUUCUCUGUUCCUCUCUUUUCUAAUCCAAUGACUUCUGUUUAUUUUA